GAUGAACGCUGGCGGCGUGCCUAAUACAUGCAAGUCGAGCGAACAGACGAGGAGCUUGCUCCUCUGACGUUAGCGGCGGACGGGUGAGUAACACGUGGAUAACCUACCUAUAAGACUGGGAUAACUUCGGGAAACCGGAGCUAAUACCGGAUAACAUGUUGAACCGCAUGGUUCAACAGUGAAAGACGGUUUUGCUGUCACUUAUAGAUGGAUCCGCGCCGCAUUAGCUAGUUGGUAAGGUAACGGCUUACCAAGGCAACGAUGCGUAGCCGACCUGAGAGGGUGAUCGGCCACACUGGAACUGAGACACGGUCCAGACUCCUACGGGAGGCAGCAGUAGGGAAUCUUCCGCAAUGGGCGAAAGCCUGACGGAGCAACGCCGCGUGAGUGAAGAAGGUCUUCGGAUCGUAAAACUCUGUUAUUAGGGAAGAACAAAUGUGUAAGUAACUAUGCUCGUCUUGACGGUACCUAAUCAGAAAGCCACGGCUAACUACGUG
rnacentral:rRNA from 1 species